GACACUUGCUCAUUUGUCAUUUUUAAGUAAGUUUAUCAAUAAUGUCAUUUUUUAUUGCAGUUACGACUAUUUGCAAAAUGUAUAGGUACUAAUGUAAAAAACACAACAUAUACUCUUAUGGGAAUUUUGAUGUCGGACAAUGUAGCUAUGCAAUAUAGUUGGACCGGAGCAAAACAAAAUAAAGAGAAAUUUUCCAAGUCACGGUUUCACAUAGUUCUGCAAACAACUAUAAUGCAGAUGCAUAACGAUGCAACGCUACAAGGAAUCAAGAAGUGUAUAACUGACUGGUUAAGACAUGCUAAGGAAAGACAUACAAGACAACAUUUAAAAGGCAAUGAGUCAACAGCAAAAGUAAAUGACACAGUCGAUUAAAUGACAAACGAGAAGCUUUUAGAGCAAUAUUCCCUCGGAAUACAGAAAAAGAUUUUGAACACUUUAUAAUGGAGUGGUUAUCAGAUUCGCAAAUGUCCGUAAGGAAAGAAAAAAAACAUUAAAAAGGAAGUGAUAAAUAUAUUAUCUUACUUGCGUGGCUCCGCGCGAGUGAUUAUUAUAGUAACAAAAGGGUCUUAGGUUUGAUCUCGACUUAGUCUGCAUCCCGCAUAUACAGUCCUCGUAAAUGGUUUAAGGCUUAAAAGACCUGUAUGUGGUUUAAUAAUCCGUUUUAGAAAGUUUGUAGAAUGAAAAAAAAAUACAUAGGUCUAGGCGAUAGUAAAAAGAAAGUUUUUAUACAUUAGAAAUAGUGAUUUGUGCUAUAUGAUCUAAAAGGAUAAGGUCGAAGGCACUAACACCCUCAUUCGAGGGGACACAUUUCAAAUAAAAAAGGAAGAUUUUGAUAAAAUUAUUUGGUUUGACAUUUUUUCUCAGUAUCACAUUUAGUUUUUAUUCAAGGAUCAACGACGAAGAUGUGGAACCACAUCUGAUCUUGCCUUAAAAUGCAUUUUUUUCUGGAUUUGAGACAGA